UCUAUAGCCUGUAAAUACGUACACAUCGACGGACCAGUGGGAGGCAAUUGUUUGACGACUGCUGUUCCGCAGCGUCACGUUACAAUUGCAUUCGAUUGCUUACGGGCGCAUACAAUUAUAUUCCAUUAUGCGGAACACUCCGCGCGAAGGACGUUUUCCCUCCCCUCGGUUGUCGGUUGUCGGUUGGAGCCCGCGCGCUAUUCUCAAGUCGUCGGAUGUAUCGAUACGAUUGAUAUGUAUCUACUGCCGAUUGAUACUUGAAAGGGUUGACGAUUUGCAGCUUAUACGGUUCACCGUGAGUAUUCGAUCACCCUAAACUUUCCAGUAGCGUCGAGGAUACGUUGCGACAUGGAAAAGGCUUCGCACGGCUAUCCAGUUUCGAGUGUUUAUUCGAAAUCGCCCGAUCCGAAACGGUGCGAGACUUCGGAAUUGAGGACAGCGAACGCGAAACGAUAGACCCGCAUCACUCGGACGAACGAAUCUCGAAUAUUCGCGAAACGGAUGGCGGAAUCAUCGUGACGGAUCCAAGGGAUUUCGAGGUCGACGAAUCCGCGAAUGGACUUCGCCUGAAAAACAAAGAAAAAAUACAACUGCGACGAUUGACGGGUCCGAUUGCGGCUAUCGCCAAAAAUUUUAUUGCACAAAGGCAGACGAUAAAACGACACUCGACAUUAUUCGAAAAGUCAGAGGUACGUACGUACAUACGUAUAUCACGUAUGCGUUGGACAAUGGAAAUUUGUUCGGCAGCGAAAUCCCGACGAUCUGUAAAAAUACUACACCCGAUGCGAUACUGUGUCGUAACGCUACAUCGACACGGUACAAGAUACAGGUGUGCGUGGGUCGGGACUUUUUCACAAGGGCCGCUUUCGUCUCGAACUAAAUGAGGGAACUGAUCCGAAAUUCGAACAGCUCGCAGGCGCCGAAGAUCUCAAUGAGAAAAUAGAAGAGAGACGAGAAAACAGCUGUUUUCACCCACGCCUUUCACCCCACGUCGUGAUCGCGGUUGGCGAGGGGUGGAAAGGGGGAACGAGGGGGCGGCGUAGUAGUACGCGAGUACUACCGAACACCCACGCCUACACGCCUACGAGCUUCAUUUGCCGACGACUCGACGUACCCGUCUAUUUACGUACACGUUACAAUGUGUAUACAUACUUACGUGUACACGACAUGGCGCAUAUGCAUUUAUACACAAGUUAUACAUACAUGAUGCGGCGUGCACGAGCGGGCAAAGGAAACGAGAAUUGAGGAGGCACGGCAAGGGAAGCAAGGUAAACGAAGAGGAUGGUCGGGGGCGCGGAUACGGUAUCAACGCGUUAUACCUAGACGCCGGUAGUCCGCCGUACCCAACGGGGGACGGUGUGUCGACGGGGGGAGAGGGAAGAUGGGGAGAUGACCUAGAGAUGUCACUGGGUUAGCGUGCCCGCGGGCCAUCCAUAACUCCGCGAUGUACGUCACCCACCACCCACCACCCGCGACCCAACCCCCCGACACCGCUAUCCCUGUAGUAUCUACAGGGUGUUUCAGACCAAACUCGAUCUGCCCCGGUGCAUUGAAAAUGACGACGGUAACAUGGAAGGAUGGAGAGAAGAUGUUGGAGUUGCUUUCAGUUUCUCCGU
rnacentral:misc_RNA from 1 species